rnacentral:rRNA from 1 species
UACGUUGGGUGCAAGCGUUAAUCGGAAUUACUGGGCGUAAAGCGUGCGCAGGCGGUUGAGUAAGUUAGAUGUGAAAUCCCCGGGCUCAACCUGGGAACUGCAUUUAAAACUGCUCGGCUAGAGUGUGUCAGAGGGGGGUAGAAUUCCACGUGUAGCAGUGAAAUGCGUAGAGAUGUGGAGGAAUACCAAUGGCGAAGGCAACCCCCUGGGAUAACACUGACGCUCAUGUACGAAAGCGUGGGGAGCAAACAGG